CAUGUCACUCAAACCAGCUGUAUUAAGGAAGGUGCAAGCUUUUGGGAUUUCUGUUUGGAUUUAGUUUAGGUUCAAAAGAGCACGCACAGAUCCUGAGUGUUGUCAAGCACCCGUGACUGGGAAACGGAGGCGUCCGAUCCGUAUUGGAGUCAAUUCGCCACUUAAUUGAACACAGCCUCGAAGGGAAGGGCCAUAUUUGUGGGCCUGUCUAACAAUUAAGAGUGACCACAUGGAAUGGGGGAUGAAAGGGUUAAAGAAGAACAAAUAUUGAACACAGCUUUUCUAUGAACAAACUGCAGGCAGCUGCUGCUUUGCAAGAAAAACCCUUUGAAAAGAUUCAGCACGUUGCCAUGGAGAACAUCCCACUGAAGGAAUGUAUAGAAGUAGCAGGUAAAGAAUCCUGGAAUAAGAGAAAUAUUUGAAAAAGCUUGUGGAGCCCUGUUAGUCCCAAGAAGAUGAAACGUUUUCAAGGAGGGAGCUCACAAAGACACUUGCAUCACAUUAUCUCUCCUCAGGGUUAACUGAGUGCCUUCCAUCUUCCCUCCAAGGGAUCUGCAAUGAGAUGGGAGAAGGCAACAGGCUGUGUGGGAACCACUGAAGCUGGGAUGGCAGGGAAAGAACAUCUUAGGCUAACUCUUCAAGCCUUGCUGUCACAUUUGCUUUUGAGUCUAUGGUGUCAGCUGCCUACCAGUUGCUUUCAUCUCUAGAAAUCUGUGACUUGCAGUAUGACAAGAACAAAAGGUGACAAUACAAAGGACAAAGGGCAAGGAAUACAGACGGAGAAGCCGCUUAGAGUCUAGGAUGGCAGAGGUUCUCUUGAUCAUUUCAUUUUUGAGCGCUUGUAGAGCUUUGGUGUACCAGAGGUGCUUGAACAGCUUACCACACCACAGAUGAAUGGCCUUUGGAUUUCUCCUAAGAAAAUGUGGCUACCUGAAAUUCAACUCCAUUUUCUGGUCUUCAAUAUUUCUUUUGUGUUCAGUUUGCCAGCUGAGGAGAAGUGGCUAAGCAUAGCCUGUUACUGAUGCUAAAGCCCAAGUUCUGAACCUAACAACUCCAGCAACAUGAUCCUGUUUCAAGAGACAAAAAAGUGACUAAUGAAAGAAAACAAUUGAUGUGCUAUGUAGAGUUUAAAAGAAGGUAAAGAGAAUAAAUUAAAAGCAACAACUCUC
rnacentral:lncRNA from 1 species